GGGCCUAUAGCUCAGUGGUAGAACAUCUGACUGCAGAUCAGGUGGUCCCUGGUUCGAACCCAGGUGAACCCU